rnacentral:misc_RNA from 1 species
AGUUCAGCGGGUAGUCCUACCUGAUUCGAGGUCAGAUUUCAAAGUGUGCUUGACCGCCGCUCAGACGGCAGUCGAGGCGGGGGACGCGAGGCCCGGUCGGACGAGGACAAUACAACGCCCGUGGGUGCUCGGAGACCCCACCGAUGCAUUCAAAGGGAGCCGUGCGCGCGCAGACCCCAAGUCCGCCGCCAGCCGGUCGC